rnacentral:rRNA from 1 species
UACAGGGGGGGCAAGCGUUGUUCGGAAUUACUGGGCGUAAAGGGCUCGUAGGCGGCCAACUAAGUCCGACGUGAAAUCCCAAAGCUUAACUUUGGAACUGCGUCGGAUACUGGAUGGCUUGAAUUCGGGAGAGGGAUGCAGAAUUCCAGGUGUAGCGGUGAAAUGCGUAGAUAUCUGGAGGAACACCGGUGGCGAAGGCGGCAUCCUGGACCGGCAUUGACGCUGAGGCGCGAAAGCUAGGGGAGCAAACGGG